rnacentral:rRNA from 1 species
UACGGAGGGUGCAAGCGUUAAUCGGAAUUACUGGGCGUAAAGCGCACGCAGGCGGUCUGUCAAGUCGGAUGUGAAAUCCCCGGGCUCAACCUGGGAACUGCAUUCGAAACUGGCAGGCUUGAGUCUCGUAGAGGGGGGUAGAAUUCCAGGUGUAGCGGUGAAAUGCGUAGAGAUCUGGAGGAAUACCGGUGGCGAAGGCGGCCCCCUGGACGAAGACUGACGCUCAGGUGCGAAAGCGUGGGGAGCAAACAGGAUUAGAUACCCUGGUAGUCCACGCCGUA